ACCUGGCACUAACACUUUGGCUAUGACGACUUCAUUGACAGGACCUGAGCCCUAGGACCAUGCCUUAGGACUACCUGACAUGAUGACUCCUUGCUGUCCCCAGUCCACCUGGCCGUGCUGCUGCUCCAGUUUCAACUGUUCUGCCUGUGAUUAUUAUUAUUUGACCAUGCUGGUCAUUUAUGAACAUUUGAACAUCUUGGCCAUGUUCUGUUAUAAUCUCCACCCGGCACAGCCAGAAGAGGACUUGCCAGCCCACAUAGCCUGGUUCCUCUCUAGGUUUCUUCCUAGGUUUUGGCCUUUCUAGGGAGUUUUUCCUAGCCACCGUGCUUCUACACCUGCAUUGCUUGCUGUUUGGGGUUUUAGGCUGGGUUUCUCUACAGCACUUUGAGAUAUCAGCUGAUGUACGAAGGGCUAUAUAAAUACAUUUGAUUUGAUUUGAUCCUGACUUGUUGCAUCACUGCCUGGUACGGCAAUUGCCUGGCCUCUGACCGCAAGGCACUACAGAGGGUAGUGCGUACGGCCCAGUACAUCACUGGGGCAAAGUUCUCUCUACUACCGCAUGGCAAGCGGUACUGGCGUGCCAAGUCUAGGACAAAAAGGCUUCUCAACCGUUCUUACCCCCAAGCCAUAACACUCCUGAACAGGUAACCAAAUGGCGACCCGGACUAUUUGCAUUCUGUGCCCCCCCCCAACCCCUCUUUUACGCUGCUGCUACUCUCUGUUUAUCAUAUAUGCAUAGUCACUUUAACUAUACAUUCAUGUACAUACUACCUCAAUUGGCCCGACCAACCAGUGCUCCCCCACAUUGUCUAACCGGCUAUCUGCAUUGUGUCCCGCCACCCACCAACCCCUCUUUUUACGCUUCUGCUACUCUCUGUUCAUCAUAUAUGCAUAGUCACUUUAACCAUACCUACAUGUACAUACUACCUCAAUAAGCCUGACUAACCUGUAUAUAGCCUUGCUACUGUUAUUUUCAAAUGUCUUUUUACUGUUGUUUUAUUUCUUUACUUACCUACACACACACACACACACACACACACACACACACACACAUACCUUUUAUUCGCACUAUUGAUUAGAGCCUGUAAGUAAGUAUUUCAUUGUAAGGUCUACCUAUACCUGUUGUA
ensembl:lncRNA